GGUGAGACGAGAAAGAGCUGCUCCACGGUCAAGGUUGUGAACAACAAAGGAACGGUUAUCCUUUUAGGGUCUUCCUCCUCCCGGCUUUUGAGGACAAAGAUGAAUUAUUUUUAAAAAGAAGCCAGUAUGGAGACACCUGAACAGUGAGAGUGGUUCCACCAGACUCCUCCUUAGGCAGUACGCUCAGCAUCGCAGCAUCAGGCCACGGUGGCUUUGAACUAUGUCUCUUAUGAAAGUUUUCAUGAAAAUGUCAUACUUUUGGACGGCAGGGAAUCCUGAACCUGGUAAGCUUGGUUAACUCGCUUGAGCAUCUCUGGACCAUCCAGUUCCACAGGCGUUGACAGACUCAAGGACCGCCAUGUUUGAAGCAGUGCAUUGUGGGAGAUCGCAGAGGCUCCCACAAGGGGCCACUUGAGAAAUCACAGAUCCCCAGCCUGAGAAAGUCUUCCAACCCGUCUACCACGGAGCUGCGAACAGUUCACCCUUCACUGUGACGCUGAAAGAGCAAGGGUUUUGUUCAAAUAACUUCCUAGACUCAAUGUGGAGCUUCUCCUGCCCAGUGUGCAAGGUCAGCAAACGGAAACUCAGACAACUUCCGUGUUCCUGUAAAUGACUCUGCUGAAACACAGGCUGUCCAGUCAGCCAGCCCCCAGAUGCCAGCUCUGGGCUCUGUACUUACUUAUUUGUUCCUUAUCCAUUUUCUGUCUCUUCAUUGUUCCUUAUUCCUUACACAAUGAAAGCUCCGUGCCUCCCACCCCAUUCUGCAGUUUUCUGCACCCUUGGGGACAGAAAAUGCCCGCUUCAUGGAGUAUUCAAGUUUGUAUCACCCACAUGGUCUUCUUCAAUCAUUUGUAACAGUUAUAAGGAACAGCACUAAGGAAAAGUAAGCUGUAACAAGGCUUGGGUGGAAGGUCAGGUGAUGGGGGAGGCAGAGGCCCCACAGGGAAAUAUAUGCUCAGUAGCAGACAGUACAAGACAGACCAACAGACAAUUUGAAUGUCCCAUGCGCACCCUCUUCCAUGCCGGAAGGCCUGAGUGAUGCAGGGGCCCUUCCUCUUUCUGGGUCUCAGAGUGCCCAGCUAGGGGAUACGAUGGGUGAACCAGAACCAACGGUGCCUUCAGGUGGUGGCAUUACAGCUCAUAACACUUGGCAGCUUUGCUGGGCUGGUCCAGACUUCUGCUGGGAUAGUCUAACCUAAUUCUGCUUUGCAGGAAGGACUUGGGUAAAGUACUUUGAUUUGACCUUCUAGUGAAUUCCAGAUGGAGCUGGAGCUGGCCUCAUCCAGAAUGGCAGGUGCUAACUUCACAUCCAGGCAUUUUAGAAACAAAACAGCCUUAAAGAUUGAAAACUAAGGUGGUUUUAUUUGCUUUGUUUUUAAUAUUUCACUUUUUCUAAAUGAGGAAAAAUGAAGACCAGCCUGAUAUCAGAAACCAA